AAUUAGAGUGGUUAUCGUUUGUAUUAGAAGCGCCCUAGAAAUACAGCUGUGCUUAGAAAAUUAAAUCUCAGCCCUUAAUUACAUCGAACGGCCUGUAUUCCCACUCUGUAAAUUGGCACUCCGCAUAAGAUACCGGCUGUUAUUUUUUUCCCUCCCUUACCCACUUCUAACCAGAAGAACACAACUACGGCUCUGCUCAUUCGUAUUGGACGUCAAUGGGUCCUCUGACGCUAGCAGUGGAUUCAAAAAGCUGUUCAGGAACUUCAUCAGAUGAAUAUAGCAAGAAAACGCAAUAUGCUCCUAUAGGAACACGGAAGUCUUUUGCGUCAGUCAGCUUGC